rnacentral:lncRNA from 1 species
GGUGACGGGAGGAGGUCAAGGCCCGGGUAGACAGCCUGGGCAAGCCUUACUGUGUGCUGGUAGAGGGGCCAGCAUGGCUGGAGCUGCUCCAAUGGAAGGGCCAGGGCGGCCGGGCUGUAGGACCCUUCCAUUCCUCCUGGUGGUCUUGCAAGCCCAAGACCCUUCUGCAAGGACAGGCCCAUCCUCCUUCCACCUGCAAUGGUGAACUUGCAAGUCCCUGCUCGGUGGCUUUACUGGGGCUGUGGUGGGGACUGUCCUGUACUGGGGACAAGGAGAGAAGGGAUCAACCUCCCUGAAGAGCAUUGUCCACACACAGCACCGGACUCCCUCCUGUGACUGCUGGUGAAGAGAGUGUUCCCAAAGCCCUUGUUAGGACAACACCCAAAGAGACCUCUGAUCCCUGUGAGACAGUGGUGGAAUGGACAGAGUGUAUCACUGAUCUACUGUUGACCUGUGAGUAUUCACGUUCAAGGUAAGAACUGUUCUAAAUGCAGUCUGUGAUACAAGUCCCGUGCACUUUAUGUUGCAAAAUUCCACCAACCCAUUGAGAUAUAAACUCAUAUCUAAUGUGGCAUGAGAAAACCACUGUAAUAAAUGAUAAUGUGAAACCUACUAAUUUUAUCUAUAAAUACCAUAAUUAAAAUGUUUUGUAUAGUUAAGUAAAGAAAUAAUAGAUUGGUUGGUGAUGAUAGAAAGCACAUGUGGUAGAUAAUCAAGCAUAACUUAAAACUUUUUAAGACAAAAGCAGUCAUAAAAAUUUAACUAGCAAUGCUACAAGGAGAAGAGAAGUUAGGUGAAUUAUCACUCCAAGCUUUACAGAAGUGUUUGGGUACUAGGAUUCAUAAGAGUAAACACAAUAAUCUUAGUAACCAUACUUAAAGUUCUCUUGUUUAAUUCUAUUUAGGCCACAGGUCUACCAAGAAAAAUAUCCUACUUGAGAAUUCACAUGUUAAAGCAAAAUGCCCAUUUUUUUUUCCAUCUCAAAAGUAAUGAAAAGACAAGAUGCCAAAAUCAAGAUCCUGAGCCUGCACUGUGCACACCUGAUCUACCACAGAGAGACGGGCAUGAAAGCGAGUCUCAGGCACUACUGUCAGCUAAGGUCAGUGGAGGAAGCAAGUCUCUGUGGGAGGCUCACUCUUCUGUAGCUCACGGCAAACCCAGGGCAGGACAGCGGGACCAGGGCUGAUAGCACUGAGCAUGCUCUUCCUGCAACACAGUGCCAAGCUUCAAGAUUUUA